AUGGCUACUAGCCGUAGCGGAGGUAGAGCUGAAGAGAACAGGCCGAGCGUUCUGAGCACACUGCCGAAGGAUCUGCCGUUAGACUUUCUGAAGAAUAUCACAGAUCAGUUCUCAGAGAAUCGUAUAAUUGGUAAAGGCGCUUUUGGAACCGUUUAUAAGGGGACUGUGCCAGAUGGGGAAACCAUUGCUGUGAAGAAACUUGCCGAAAAUUCGCCCCUUCCACGAGAUAAAGCAUUCAAUAAUGAGGUUCAAAAUAUUAUGGCUCUCCGACAUAAAAAUGUUGUAAGGUUGGUUGGCUACUGUCAUGAAAGUCUAAAGAAAGUGGUGCAGAACAAUGGAAGAUAUAUUGUUGCUGAUAUUGUUGAAAGUGUACUCUGCUACGAAUAUUUACCAGGGGGGACCCUUAAGAAGAAUCUUUUUGGAGUAGAUACCCAAAUGGACUGGGACACACGAUUCAACAUAAUUAAGGGGAUAUGUGAGGGUUUACUCUUUGUACACAGCAUUCCUAUUGUGCAUAUGGAUCUUAAGCCCGAAAAUAUACUGCUGGAUAGUAAUAUGGUACCGAAAAUAGCGGAUUUUGGUCUCUCGCGACUCUUCGGUCAAGAACAAACACGGAUGAACACACAAAAUGUGGUGGGGUCAUAUGGAUAUAUAGCUCCUGAAUAUCUAUACAGAGGUGAAAUCUCCACAAAGUCGGACAUAUACAGUUUAGGUGUACUAAUCCUUGAGACUACCACAAGAGAGGAGAAUUACCGCGGGAGCGAACCAUCUGCAGGACAAUUUAUUAAAAAGGUACGUGAAAACUGGACAGAGGAGAACAUCGUAUCAGAGUACCCAUCAUUAAAAGCAGAUUGCCUACGACAAGUAAAAAAAUGCAUCGAAAUUGGACUGCAAUGUGUUGAGACUGAUCGGCAGAGGAGACCUACCAUAGAGGCAAUUAUCGACCAGCUCAAUGGACGACAUACUAAUUGA
rnacentral:rRNA from 1 species